rnacentral:rRNA from 1 species
AGAGUUUGAUCCUGGCUCAGGAUGAACGCUGGCGGCGUACCUAACGCAUGCAAGUCGAACGGGGAGGUUUUAGCAAUAGAACUUUCUAGUGGCAAACGGGUGAGUAACACGUAGGGAUCUACCUUGAAGUGGGGAACAACGGACCGAAAGGUUCGCUAAUACCGCAUGGGGUCGCGAGACCAAAGGGGAAUGCUAACACAUUCUUCGCUUUGAGAGGAGCCUGCGUUCGAUCAGGUAGUUGGUGAGGUAACGGCUCACCAAGCCGAUGACCGAUAGCUGUUCUGAGAGGAAGAUCAGCCACACUGGGACUGUGACACGGCCCAGACUCCUACGGGAGGCAGCAGCGAGGAAUAUUGCACAAUGGACGCAAGUCUGAUGCAGUAACGCCGCGUGGGGGAAGAAGACCUUCGGGUUGUAAACCUCUUUUAUAUAGGACGAGUGAGGACGGUACUAUAGGAAUAAGUCUCGGCUAACUACGUGCCAGCAGCCGCGGUAAGACGUAGGAGGCGAGCGUUAUCCGGAUUCACUGGGCGUAAAGCGCAUGUAGGCGGUUGUGUAAGUCCGCUGUUAAAGCCCCCGGCUCAACUGGGGGAGGUCAGUGGAGACUACAGGACUUGAGGGCAACAGAGGCACGUGGAACUCCCGGUGUAGCGGUGGAAUGCGUAGAGAUCGGGAAGAACACCAGUGGCGAAGGCGACGUGCUGGGUUGCGACUGACGCUGAGAUGCGAAAGUGUGGGGAGCAAACGGGAUUAGAUACCCUGGUAGUCC